rnacentral:pre_miRNA from 1 species
UAUAUACUCCCUCCGUCCGGAAAUACUUGUCAUCAAAAUGGAUAAAAGGGAUGUAUCUAGAUGUAUUUUAGUUUUAGAUACAUCCCUUUUUUUUCCAUUUUGAUGACAAGUAUUUUCGGACGGAGGGAGUAUAAU